AUGACACUGACAGCUUUUUCUUUAUUACCUGCAGAGGAGAAGAAAGUAAAGAGCACUAAAGUGGAAGCAAAAGUUAAAAAGGAAGUGAAGGAUGGAAAAGGAGAAGCAAAGAUGGCAGAGAAGGUCAAGCAGGCAGAGACAAAACCAACAGAAACUGGGCUAAUAAAGGCCAAAACGAAAGUUAAGGAGGAAAAAGCUCUUCAGACUGUAACUAAAUCGGACAAGAAAGGUGCAGGACAUAAGGAAUUGGUACCACCUCGUCUUCUUCUGGAACACAGUCCAAGAAAGAAACCAGCAGCUAUUGAAGAAGAAAAGUCUACUGUGGUACCUAGAGAAGGGAAAAGUAAGUUUGGGUUUUUUAUUUUUCCUUCAUCUUCAUGUUAGUUUUAUGCAAGGGACAGGAGUAUAUUUGCUUCUUGGAUUUGAAAAUAUUCCUAUACCUUAAAUAUGUUUCAGUUAAAGAAAAGACUCUUGUUUAAGUGCUUAUGGUUCUAUCUUCUGUAAGAUAAUAAAAC
rnacentral:lncRNA from 13 species